rnacentral:rRNA from 1 species
GCAAGUCGAGGGGUAGCAGGGUUUUCGGACCGCUGACGACCGGCGCACGGGUGCGUAACGCGUAUGAAAUCUACCCAUAUCACAGGGAUAGCCCUUGGAAACGAGGAUUAAUACCUGAUAGUAUUAUUAAUUGGCAUCAUUUAAUAAUUAAAGAUUUAUCGGAUAUGGAUGAUCAUGCGUGACAUUAGUUAGUUGGUGAGGUAAUGGCUCACCAAGACGAUGAUGUCUAGGGGUUCUGAGAGGAAGAUC